UACGUAGGGUGCGAGCGUUGUCCGGAAUUAUUGGGCGUAAAGAGCUUGUAGGCGGUUUGUCGCGUCUGCUGUGAAAAUCCGGGGCUCAACCCCGGACUUGCAGUGGGUACGGGCAGGCUAGAGUGUGGUAGGGGAGACUGGAAUUCCUGGUGUAGCGGUGGAAUGCGCAGAUAUCAGGAGGAACACCGAUGGCGAAGGCGGGUCUCUGGGCCGUAACUGACGCUGAGGAGCGAAAGCGUGGGGAGCGAACAGG
rnacentral:rRNA from 1 species